GGAACUCGCCUUUCAGGCAUCCUCUCCUAAAACUUUAUAGCCGCCCUUCGGGGCGGCUUUUUUUUCGCCUUGU
rnacentral:sRNA from 1 species